rnacentral:ncRNA from 1 species
AAAGGUUUGGUCCUAGCCUUAUUAUUAAUUGUAAUUAGACCUACACAUGCAAGUUUCCGCUACCCAGUGAAAAUGCCCUUAAACCUAAUAAAGACUAAAGGAGCUGGUAUCAGGCUCACUCAAACGUAGCCUACGACGCCUUGCUUAGCCACACCCCUACGGGAUACAGCAGUGACUAAUCUUAAGCUAUAAACGAAAGUUUGACUAAGCCAUAAUUAUUUAGGGUUGGUCAAUUUCGUGCCAGCCACCGCGGUCAUACGAUUGACCCUAGUUAAUAAGUACCGGCGUAGAGCGUGUUCAUGAUACAAACCCAAUAAAGUUAAUGUUUAACUAAACUGUAAUACGUAAUAGUUAAUACAAAAAUAAACGAUUAAAAUGGCUUUAAUAAUACUAACACACGACAGCUAGGACACAAACUGGGAUUAGAUACCCCACUAUGCCUAACCGUAAACCAAUGUAGUUAACAUAACAAAACCACUCGCCAGAGAACUACUAGCUAUCGCUUAAAACUCAAAGGACUUGGCGGUGCCCUAAACCCACCUAGAGGAGCCUGUUCUAUAAUCGAUAAACCCCGAUAAAUCUCACCCUAUCUUGCCAAUACAGCCUAUAUACCGCCAUCGUCAGCCCACCUUUAAAAAGUCAAGCAGUAAGCAAAAUUAUUUUUCCAUAAAAACGUUAGGUCAAGGUGUAGCAUAUGAUAGGGGAAGAAAUGGGCUACAUUCUCUACUAUAGAGUACAACGAAUCACAUUGUGAAAUCAACGUGCCUGAAGGAGGAUUUAGUAGUAAAUUAAGAAUAGAGAGCUUAAUUGAAUUAGGUAAUAGGGCGCGCACACACCGCCCGUCACCCUCCUCUACACAUAACUGACCAAUAAUUAAUAAGCAUUAAUACAAAAGAGGAGAAAAGUCGUAACAAGGUAAGUGUACUGGAAAGUGCACUUGGAUUA